GGACGAACGCUGGCGGCGUGCCUAAUACAUGCAAGUCGAGCGGACUUGAUGGAGAGCUUGCUCUCCUGAUGGUUAGCGGCGGACGGGUGAGUAACACGUAGGCAACCUGCCUGCAAGACCGGGAUAACCCACGGAAACGUGAGCUAAUACCGGAUAUCUCAUUUCCUCUCCUGAGGGRAUGAUGAAAGACGGAGCAAUCUGUCACUUGCGGAUGGGCCUGCGGCGCAUUAGCUAGUUGGUGAGGUAACGGCUCACCAAGGCGACGAUGCGUAGCCGACCUGAGAGGGUGAACGGCCACACUGGGACUGAGACACGGCCCAGACUCCUACGGGAGGCAGCAGUAGGGAAUCUUCCGCAAUGGGCGAAAGCCUGACGGAGCAACGCCGCGUGAGUGAUGAAGGUUUUCGGAUCGUAAAGCUCUGUUGCCAGGGAAGAACGUCCGRUAGAGUAACUGCUAUCGGAGUGACGGUACCUGAGAAGAAAGCCCCGGCUAACUACGUGC
rnacentral:rRNA from 1 species